CCCCACGCCCCCACUACAUCCUUGAUCCGACAACCUCCCCCACGCCCCCACUCCUUCUCUGAUCCAGGCACCAAUCAUCACCGGCACUGGUCCGCCCCCGCUCCAGGACCAGGCUGCCGCCCCGCUCCUGCCUCGGGAAUCGGCCGCCGCUGCCAUCGCCCUAGAUCGUGCUGCCGCCGCAGCUUCCCUCCCCGGAUCGGCCGCCGCUGCCAUCACCCUCCACAGAUCACGCCGCCGUCACCGCCACCGCCUCCCUCCCUCGCGCCGUCACCGUCCACCGCCGCAAGCUACCGCUGCAGUUCGUCGCUAACUACUGCUGUAGUCCAUCACUGGCUCACACAGGGGAGGCGAUGCUGCUCCGGUUACCUCUACAUCACCGGCUGCCGCCACAAACGGUGUCUGGACACCACCAUGGACUGCCCCCUGGCGCCGCCCCAGCCCGUACGCACUACUUCCUCAGGGCAACCCUCCUCCACGCGGGUGACUGGCCGCUCGUGCCCGUGCCACCGUUCAUCACGCCCCCGUGAUCUGCUGCCUAGCUCGCUACCUCAUCCCCCGCGCGUCUGUCGCCCUGUCCUUCUCCAGCCUCUGAGGACGAACGCUUAGGUAUCCUGCCGCUCCAUCAUAACUUGGACUACUCCAGGGCCAACAUCUUCCCUGUGCGCUCCAGACACCUUUGCGGCCGGUCAAGUUCUUGGCGAGGGGCGGAUGUGGCCACCUGCUCUUUUCUGUAGUUGCUCCUGCACACCGCAACACCUAUUGGUCAUCUCCACUUAGCUAGUUUGUGUGCCUGGGUUGCAACCCAUUAGGUUGCUACACGAACCCGUGGUGUUUUUCAGUAAACGAAUUCAGAGGUGUUCGUACUACUCACAUAAAUCCUCUCAAUUUAUUCCAAAAAAUAAUGAAUGUAAAGUUGAAGUUUUACAUGCAGCUGGAACACUCUACAUACUACACCAUAAUUCUAUAUAGUGUGAAUCUAUCUAUCCAUCUGUUUGAUUUGUGUGUGUGUGUAGAUGCAGCAUGUUCUGAAUUUUGAAUCUUUUCUCCUUUAGUACUCCUCGCCGCCACCACUUCGCCUCCUCCCGGUGGUGCCCCUCGCCCCACGCCUGGAACGAGCCGUCGACCACCAGAAGGCGGUGUGUGUUCAUGCUCCGCUGACCACCCGGCCGCACCCCUGGAAGAACAUCAUAUGGAGGACGGGCUCCAUUCAGCCAAUUUUUCAAAAAAAAAACAUAUGUAUACAGAGAAGUUUCGAUGUCGCUGCAUAGUGGAAAUCUAGAAAAAACAGGAUGAGGAAGGACGCAGCCAAGUCUGAUGUGUUCUCCUGUUGAUGAAGUAAUUCAAGGAGCAGGUGGUUUCAUUCGUAUGAAGAACCAACAAUAAAAUCUUCAUCCCCAUGUUUGCUUCUUGUUUUAUUUCAAGCUGGCACUAACCAUUGGCAUUUUUUGUCUGAUGCUCCACGUCUUGUAAGUGUCCACUAAAAAACAGAAUUUUAUGCAAUACCAGCAAACAGUAAGUGUGAACUUCUCCGUUUACAUUCAUCUAAAGAAUUACGUAUUUUUUUAAAGUAAUCUGGAAGUCAAAAGAUUAUAGUCUAGAGAGUUCAAUCAUUGGAUUUUGGGAAGAAUUCAUCUUACUGAUAAAUAAUGAAUAGAGAAAAAAAUACAAAAUAGGUUUUGGGUCAGUACUAAAUAGGUUAGGAAUUGUUUGGCGUUGGUGUAGUGUUGGAGCAUUACUACUACUUGGUUCACUUCCAUUUAAAGGGUCUUGCUUGAAGAUAUCUUUGAAGCCAUAAACACAGUUGUCUUGAUUUCAAAUAGGGGUCAUGGGUUGAGCUAUUAAGCUGAACUUGUUGUUACGCCUCUGAACAUCUACCUCUUUCCUGUAGGUGUUGAUCCUGGUGCUUGUCGCCAUUCAUGAGGAAAGAUAGUCGGUCUUUGAACGGGUGAGUGAUCUUGCUGUUGCUGGGAUGCUAUUCAACAUGGGGAUUUGAUCUCCCUUGAGGUGCAGUGUAGCGAGAUAUAUGCCGCUGCCACUUGUGGAUUUAUUGUUGAGAUGGUCGCUCAACCUCAAUAUUGAUUAGUCCUUCCCCUAGAUUUUGCCCAACAUGCUCUGUAGGUCAUCAGUAAGAACAAAAAGUAUGCCUCUAAGCUGUCUGUGUUUAUUCUACAAAGUAAAUUAGUAUGGCUGCACACGGUUGACUGUUCUUGACCAGUUUUUGUAGUAAUUUGUAUGGCUGACAAAUUUCAGCAGUAAUUAACAUGGCUUCA